ensembl:lncRNA
GUAUUAAUGCCACUUCAGUUUCUGUAUGCAAUUUAAAAUCUCAAAUUAUAGGGAUUUGACGACACUACCAUUACUACAAAGUUAUUCUGGCUAAUUAUAAUAAACUACAUACAAGAAAAAAUGGGUGGGAAAAUGUGUUUAUCUCAAAUAAAAGUGGAAACUUAACCCCCCGAAAAGAAUACAGAUAAUUGAAAUGAUUUAAUUUACUUAUAAAUCUACCUAAAUGAGAUAACAAAUGUAUAUUUGUGCUUCUGUUUAUUUAGACUGGGAUAUAGCUGACAAUAAAAAUAACUGAAAAUACUGAAAACUAACUGAAACUAAUUCCAAUUUAAAAGAAAAAAUAAAACACUAAAUUAAAACAAAAAAAAGAGGAUUAUAAAACUAUAAAUACAUCGUCUAAUAAUUUUGAGGCGAUUGAAAAGUCCUUUUGAGCUUUUAUUUUUUUACAGUUAACUGACUGACUUCCGGUUAUGGCUUUUCUAACUGAGUGCCUCUCCGCGCAGCCUGUACUCUUCAAGCCCCAUCAAACACGAGUCCGUCGGUCUGGCUGCGCAAGGCAACUGAACACUACGAGCAGCGAGUGGUUAUUCCAGCCCAAACCUCCAACUUAGCAAACAGUGUUAGCUCUAAAUAUCAUCCCUGUCCGUCGGUAAGCGCUGCACUUUGCUUUCCGCUUCCUUCUGAGGACUUCAACUCGCGCUGGUCAAAUUGUCGGCAGACCAAAUACGGAGAAAUAAAACGAAAUAACGGACACGUCUCGGCUGAAAUGCACGGCUGUUGUUACUGUCUUUUGAGGAGGAGGGUGUCCGACACAGAGCUGUAGUUUCUCUUCCAAGAAGGCGAGGAAUGCAAGCUGAGCAUCAAUGUUUCACUGGGGCAAGUGGAAGAAGAGGAUGGGAGCCAACAGUUCUUCAAAGAGACCCGUUUUCGACGAAAAGGAAGAUGGGAGCAGCAGCUGUGAUGGUGACUAAUAAAGAAUAAAGAACCUCUGAUGAAGAUUACAUUAUCUCAGGAUUCAUAAUUAAUGUCCAAAUAUGACUAUAAAACCUUCGUGCUGCAAACUAAAGUCAUAUUAGCUCUUACAGAAAGGUUUGCGUUCCUCAGCAUAUUCCUCCUCCUCUCCUGUGUUAAAUACAAACUAUGCAUUUAACUGAGCUUCAGUUUGCUUUGGAUUUCCCUUUAAUAAAACCCUAGUUAAAGAAAAUGGUUUUGAAAGUUGUCUCUUUAAUUCAUUAUUUCCUGGUGUGUUAUUAGCAAGGUUAAUGAUCUAAUUGCAUAAUGUAUUUUUCAUCAUGGUCAGGAAGGUGCCC